rnacentral:rRNA from 1 species
AGAGUUUGAUUCUGGCUCAGGAUGAACGCUGGCGGCGUGCUUAACACAUGCAAGUCGAGCGAAGCAGUUAAGUUGAUUUCUUCGGAUUGAUUCUUAAUUGACUGAGCGGCGGACGGGUGAGUAACGCGUGAGUAACCUGCCCAUAAGAGGGGGAUAAUCCAUGGAGACGUGGACUAAUACCGCAUAUUGUAAUUAAGUUGCAUGACUUGAUUAUGAAAGAUUUAUCGCUUAUGGAUGGACUCGCGUCAGAUUAGAUAGUUGGUGAGGUAACGGCUCACCAAGUCAACGAUCUGUAGCCGAACUGAGAGGUUGAUCGGCCGCAUUGGGACUGAGACACGGCCCAG